UACGUAGGGUGCAAGCGUUAAUCGGAAUUACUGGGCGUAAAGCGUGCGCAGGCGGUUGUGUAAGACAGAUGUGAAAUCCCCGGGCUCAACCUGGGAACUGCAUUUGUGACUGCACGGCUCGAGUGCGGCAGAGGGGCAUGGAAUUCCGGGUGGAGCGGUGAAAUGCGUAGAGAUCCGGAGGAACACCAAUGGCGAAGGCAGUGCCCUGGCCGACGGCUGACGCUCAGGCGCGAAAGCGUGGGGAGCAAACAGG
rnacentral:rRNA from 1 species